UAUCACGAUUUUCAAAAUACACGUAAGUCCAAAGAAAACGUAAAGAUGGUACUGAGUUUUUUUUCUUUGCUUUUUAGUGAUUUGAUUACUGGAAGUUCAUCACAACAAUCGACGUAGAUCUAAACCUCCUCUGCCAUCUGCAAGACUUGAUGAGUGGGGGUGGAAUGUGCAGAAAACUCUGCGUCUUCUUUGCUUCUGGGGUUUCACAAAUCUUUCGAACUCCACACAGCCUGCAGAAUCAUCACGUUCUCGAAUCUUGAACUUCCCCCCGCCCAACAACCGCAAACCCGCACGUGAAGCUGGUCUCUCCUCUCGAGAAUCCAUCCUUAAACGAUUCACCUGGUGCAGUUCCUGUGCACUCUCCAAUGUCGGUGAGAGAAAAGCUGGCCCUGACAAGGAACCUCCCCUGUUUCUUUUUUUUUUACCUUGAAUUUUCUUCUUGAGACUCUCUACGUGCACGAGUAAGACUUUUUCUUCUUGAUAUGAACGCUGUGGCUUGAUGUCAAAGCAAUUGCAGCCACAUGAAGCGCUUGUUUGGUACCGCGGGCUUCCUCCCUCCCGCCUUGAAUUUGGGCAGUUUUUUCUCGUCUCUUUGUUUGAAUUGGUGGUUUGCAGAAGAAAGAAGAUAAUUGCAAUUGGUGGGGGGGCUACUUGUAUUUAAUAGUUUAGGGCUAGAUGUAUGCUUGCUUUGGUGGAGUAUCAGGACAGCCACAUAAAUAUACAUGGAAAGGUCCAACUUUUUAGUUGUUUAUGAGUCCCUGGAUUUUGGUAUUUAAAGCCUUGUGGGCAGCAUCCAACUUCUUCUCCUUUUCAUUGGAAUUAAAUGGUAUGACCGCAACUUUCUUGGUCCCA